CUCGUUCUGUUGGUAGAGAGGAAUUCAGCUUCUUCUGGAGCGCGAAAGUCAUUCACGUUUCUCUUGUGCAUAAUAGAGCUCGUAAACUGUAGGAAUUCUGAUGUGCUUCAGUGCACAGAACAGUAACAGAUGAGCUGCUUUUGGGGAGAGCUUGAGUACUCAGUCGGUCAGUAGUACAGUAGCAGGCUCACAUGUACGGAUUGUUCUUGUGAGGAGCAUCAUCAUGGGCUCUAGUGCCACAGAAAUUGAAGAAUUGGAAAACACCACUUUUAAGUAUCUUACAGGAGAACAGACUGAAAAAAUGUGGCAGCGCCUGAAAGGAAUAGCAACCAAGAGAAGUGAGUUCAGAAUCUCCAUAAACUUAAGGUAAGAAUUAGUUAAUCAUACACUUGAUGUUUAUCACUGGAAAAGAAAAGUAUUUAUGAAACAGAGCAAAAGAAAAGAGUGAAGAUAAAAAUAUAAAAUGAUUGUAAGAAACAGAGAGAAAGAAUCAAAGUGAAUCAUAUUAGAUGGACCCAACCCUACAAGUAAUUAAAGCACUAGUAAUUAAUUCUGUGGACUCUGGUGAAAAGCAGUCCCAGGUUCAAAUCUUUGCUUUGUCAGUCCCAGCUGUACAAUAUUAGCUAUCUCUAAAAUUAGAUACUAAUAUUGUCCCAUAUUGUCAUCUGGGGAAUUCAGUGUAAUAGGUUCUGUAGAAUCCUCGGUGGUGCCUGGUACGUAUGUGCUCUGUAAUAGCAACGGCUCUUUUAUUGGAUAUAGGGGCUAGGUAAUCUCACAGGUAACUCUGAGCUUUACAAGUCUAUGAAUGGAGCCUAUCUAGCCUUUUCAGUGAAGGUGAAACAUCUUAUGAAGUGAUUUAGAAAAAAAGUAGAGUUUUUUUUUUUUUUUUUGAGACGGAGUCUUGCUCUGUCGCCCAGGCUGGAGUGCUGUGGCGCAGUCUCGGCUCACUGCAAGCUCUGGUUCCUGGGUUCACACCAUUCUCCUGCCUCAGCCUCCCAAGAAACUGGGACUACAGGCGCCCGCCACCACGCCCAGCUAAUAUUUUGUAUUUUUUAGUAGAGACGGGGUUUCACCAUGUUAGCCAGGAUGGGCUCGAUCUCCUGACCUCGUGAUCUGCCCGCCUCGGCCUCCCAAAGUGCUAGGAUUACAGGCGUGAGCCACUGUGCCCGGUCUAAAGGUAGAGAAUU
rnacentral:lncRNA from 1 species